AGUAAGGUCUGAAUGUUGUCGUUCUAACCAACAUCUGGAGGUGUGGUGGUGUCAGUGGAAGUAGUAAGGUCUGAAUGUUGUCGUUCUAACCAACAUCUGGAGGUGUGGUGGUGUCAGUGGAAGUAGUAAGGUCUGAAUGUUGUUGUUCUAACCAACAUCUGGAGGUGUGGUGGUGUCAGUGGAAGUCGUAAGGUCUGAAUGUUGUUGUUCUAACCAACAUCUGGAGGUGUGGUGGUGUCAGUGGAAGUAGUAAGGUCUGAAUGUUGUCAUUCUAACCAACAUCUGGAGGUGUGGUGGUGUCAGUGGAAGUAGUAAGGUCUGAAUGUUGUUGUUCUAACCAACAUCUGGAGGUGUGGUGGUGUCAGUGGAAGUAGUAAGGUCUGAAUGUUGUUGUUCCAACCAACAUCUGGAGGUGUGGUGGUGUCAGUGGAAGUAGUAAGGUCUGAAUGUUGUCGUUCUAACCAACAUCUGGAGGUGUGGUGGUGUCAGUGGAAGUAGUAAGGUCUGAAUGUUGUCGUUCUAACCAACAUCUGGAGGUGUGGUGGUGUCAGUGGAAGUAGUAAGGUCUGAAUGUUGUCGUUCUAACCAACAUCUGGAGGUGUGGUGGUGUCAGUGGAAGUAGUAAGGUCUGAAUGUUGUCGUUCUAACCAACAUCUGGAGGUGUGGUGGUGUCAGUGGAAGUAGUAAGGUCUGAAUGUUGUCGUUCUAACCAACAUCUGGAGGUGUGGUGGUGUCAGUGGAAGUAGUAAGGACUGAAUGUUGUCGUUCUAACCAACAUCUCGAGGUGUGGUGGUGUCAGUGGAAGUAGUAAGGUCUGAAUGUUGUCGUUCUAACCAACAUCUGGAGGUGUGGUGGUGUCAGUGGAAGUCGUAAGGUCUGAAUGUUGUUCUAACCAACAUCUGGAGGUGUGGUGGUGUCAGUGGAGGUAGUAAGGUCUGAAUGUUGUGUU